UACGGGGGGGGCAAGCGUUGUUCGGAAUUACUGGGCGUAAAGGGCUCGUAGGCGGCCAACUAAGUCAGACGUGAAAUCCCUCGGCUUAACCGGGGAAUGGCGUCCGAUACUGGAUGGCUUGAGUUUGGGAGAGGGAUGCGGAAUUCCAGGUGUAGCGGUGAAAUGCGUAGAUAUCUGGAGGAACACCGGUGGCGAAGGCGGCAUCCUGGACCAACACUGACGCUGAGGAGCGAAAGCCAGGGGAGCAAACGGG
rnacentral:rRNA from 1 species